ACUCAAAUGAAUAGACGGGGGCCCGCACAAGCGGUGGAGCAUGUUGUUUAAUACGUCACUAACCGUAGAACCUUACCAGGGUUUGACAUGGCGUGCUAUGCUAUGAAAGUAGCCUUCCCCGCAAGGGGACACGCACACAGGUGUUGCAUGGCUGUCGUCAGCUCGUGUCGUGAGAUGUUGGGUUAAGUCCCGCAACGAGCGCAACCCUCAUCCCAUGUUGCCAGCGGGUGAUGCCGGGAACUCUUGGGAAACUGCCGGGGUAACUCGGAGGAAGGUGAGGACGACGUCAAGUCAGCAUGGCCCUUACAUCCUGGGCUACAAACAUGCUACAAUGGACGGUAGACAGACCGACCCAAGACCGUGAGGUGGAGGCAAUCGGACAAAUCCGUUCUCAGUUCGGAUCGCAGGCUGCAACUCGCCUGCGUGAAGCUGGAAUCGCUAGUAACCGCAGGUCAGCUAAACUGCGGUGAAUACGUUCCCGGGCCUUGUACACACCGCCCGU
rnacentral:rRNA from 1 species